rnacentral:rRNA from 1 species
GCCCAACUCCUACGGGAGGCAGCAGUAGGGAUCUUCCACAAUGGACGCAAGUCUGAUGAGCAACGCCGCGUGAGUGAAGAAGGCUUUCGGGUCGUAAAACUCUGUUGUUGGAGAAGAAUGGUCGGCAGAGUAACUGUUGUCGGCGUGACGGUAUCCAACCAGAAAGCCACGGCUAACUACGUGCCAGCAGCCGCGGUAAUACGUAGGUGGCAAGCGUUAUCCGGAUUUAUUGGGCGUAAAGCGAGCGCAGGCGGUUUUUUAAGUCUGAUGUGAAAGCCCUCGGCUUAACCGAGGAAGCGCAUCGGAAACUGGGAAACUUGAGUGCAGAAGAGGACAGUGGAACUCCAUGUGUAGCGGUGAAAUGCGUAGAUAUAUGGAAGAACACCAGUGGCGAAGGCGGCUGUCUGGUCUGUAACUGACGCUGAGGCUCGAAAGCAUGGGUAGCGAACAGGAUUAGAUACCCUGGUAGUCCAUGCCGUAAACGAUGAAUGCUAGGUGUUGGAGGGUUUCCGCCCUUCAGUGCCGCAGCUAACGCAUUAAGCAUUCCGCCUGGGGAGUACGACCGCAAGGUUGAAACUCAAAGGAAUUGACGGGGGCCCGCACAAGCGGUGGAGCAUGUGGUUUAAUUCGAAGCAACGCGAAGAACCUUACCAGGUCUUGACAUCUUUUGAUCACCUGAGAGAUCAGGUUUCCCCUUCGGGGGCAAAAUGACAGGUGGUGCAUGGUUGUCGUCAGCUCGUGUCGUGAGAUGUUGGGUUAAGUCCCGCAACGAGCGCAACCCUUAUGACUAGUUGCCAGCAUUUAGUUGGGCACUCUAGUAAGACUGCCGGUGACAAACCGGAGGAAGGUGGGGAUGACGUCAAAUCAUCAUGCCCCUUAUGACCUGGGCUACACACGUGCUACAAUGGAUGGUACAACGAGUUGCGAGACCGCGAGGUCAAGCUAAUCUCUUAAAGCCAUUCUCAGUUCGGACUGUAGGCUGCAACUCGCCUACACGAAGUCGGAAUCGCUAGUAAUCGCGGAUCAGCACGCCGCGGUGAAUACGUUCCCGGGCCUUGUACACACCGCCCGUCACACCAUGAGAGUUUGUAACACCCGAAGCCGGUGGCGUAACCCUUUUAGGGAGCGAGCCGUCUAAG